GUGAGGUAGAACCACUAUGGAAAUUUCACUUGGGAGCAGGGUGAACAAACAAGGUCUAUGGAAGACAAACUGUAGCAACUAGAUGGUGAGGUUGGUGAGAGAAAAUCUGAGAUGCUCUGCUGUAAUUUGCAACAUUGUUUUGCUACCUAAAUGUCAGACACAGCACAUAGGCACUUGCUAAAACGAAUAGAAAAAAAUGAGGACCACCAUCAAUUCCAACAUUGAGAACUCGUAUUUUAGUUGGAAAGAAAUGCACACAGUUUGGAAUCCUAUGUAAUCAAGAUAAGAGAACAACAAUUUUCCAAAUGCUUUCCGUGGGCCAGCGUGGAAACUUAACUCUCUCACACAGACAACGAGAUUACACUCUGACACCAAGCCCUGCCCUUGUGGGAAGUAUGAUAAGCCUCAAGGCAAACAAUUCUUCCUUCGCGAUUGCAGUCUGGGCACCUGAUGAUAUAGAAUGACUCAUUGGACUCCUGCCUCUUCUACUUCAUUCUUACCAUGAGCUCCCCUAGAAGAUGUAGUCUUCCACCGUUACCAAAAUCUGCAACCAGAAAGAUCAAGCUCUAGGAAGCAGUACACACUAUACUCCUGUGUGGAAACAAAGUAAUCCUCAUCAGAUCAUCUAACUUGCUGUUGCUGUAAGGACUGUGAAUUGGUAGCAAUAAAUAAGCCAUGGGAAAUAGGAGGGAAAACACCAUCAAUGACAAUAAAAACUGAAUGUGAAAUUUGA
rnacentral:lncRNA from 10 species